GCAGUGGUGGUUCAGUGGUAGAAUUUUUGCCUUCCAUGCAGGAAACCCACGUUUGAUUCCUGGCUAGUGCA
rnacentral:tRNA from 1 species